rnacentral:tRNA from 1 species
AGAAAAUUAAUUUAAUAUAAAAUAUAAAAUUGUCAAUUUUAAAAUACAUAAGUAUUUUCUA